rnacentral:rRNA from 1 species
AGCGAAAUGCGAUACUUGGUGUGAAUUGCAGAAUCCCGUGAACCAUCGAGUCUUUGAACGCAAGUUGCGCCCGAAGCCGUCAGGCUGAGGGCACGCCUGCCUGGGUGUCACUAAUCGUCGCCCCCCAGCCUAACAUAACAUUAGGCGGGGCGAAUGCUGGCUUCCCGCGAGCUCGAGGCUCGCGGUUGGUCGAAAAUCGGGUUCGUGGCGGAGCGUAUCGCCGCGACAGACGGUGGUUGAGUGCAAUCUCGAGGCCGAGUCGCGCGCGUCCCUCCGCACCGGUUACGUACCCCGGGACCCGUGAGCGACACCGAUCGCCCGUGAUGCGACCUCAGGUCAGGCGG